ensembl:snRNA U6 U6 spliceosomal RNA
GUGGGGGUCCCUUGAGCACAUAUACUGAAACUGCAUGAGACAGAGAAGAUUAGCACAGCCCCUGAACACGGAUGACACACAAAUCUAUGAAGCUUUCACAUUCUUU